GUUAAGCGACUAAGCGUACACGGUGGAUGCCCUGGCAGUCAGAGGCGAUGAAGGACGUGCUAAUCUGCGAUAAGCGUCGGUAAGGUGAUAUGAACCGUUAUAACCGGCGAUUUCCGAAUGGGGAAACCCAGUGUGUUUCGACACACUAUCAUUAACUGAAUCCAUAGGUUAAUGAGGCGAACCGGGGGAACUGAAACAUCUAAGUACCCCGAGGAAAAGAAAUCAACCGAGAUUCCCCCAGUAGCGGCGAGCGAACGGGGAGCAGCCCAGAGCCUGAAUCAGUGUGUGUGUUAGUGGAAGCGUCUGGAAAGGCGCGCGAUACAGGGUGACAGCCCCGUACACAAAAAUGCACAUGCUGUGAGCUCGAUGAGUAGGGCGGGACACGUGGUAUCCUGUCUGAAUAUGGGGGGACCAUCCUCCAAGGCUAAAUACUCCUGACUGACCGAUAGUGAACCAGUACCGUGAGGGAAAGGCGAAAAGAACCCCGGCGAGGGGAGUGAAAAAGAACCUGAAACCGUGUACGUACAAGCAGUGGGAGCACGCUUAGGCGUGUGACUGCGUACCUUUUGUAUAAUGGGUCAGCGACUUAUAUUCUGUAGCAAGGUUAACCGAAUAGGGGAGCCGAAGGGAAACCGAGUCUUAACUGGGCGUUAAGUUGCAGGGUAUAGACCCGAAACCCGGUGAUCUAGCCAUGGGCAGGUUGAAGGUUGGGUAACACUAACUGGAGGACCGAACCGACUAAUGUUGAAAAAUUAGCGGAUGACUUGUGGCUGGGGGUGAAAGGCCAAUCAAACCGGGAGAUAGCUGGUUCUCCCCGAAAGCUAUUUAGGUAGCGCCUCGUGAAUUCAUCUCCGGGGGUAGAGCACUGUUUCGGCAAGGGGGUCAUCCCGACUUACCAACCCGAUGCAAACUGCGAAUACCGGAGAAUGUUAUCACGGGAGACACACGGCGGGUGCUAACGUCCGUCGUGAAGAGGGAAACAACCCAGACCGCCAGCUAAGGUCCCAAAGUCAUGGUUAAGUGGGAAACGAUGUGGGAAGGCCCAGACAGCCAGGAUGUUGGCUUAGAAGCAGCCAUCAUUUAAAGAAAGCGUAAUAGCUCACUGGUCGAGUCGGCCUGCGCGGAAGAUGUAACGGGGCUAAACCAUGCACCGAAGCUGCGGCAGCGACGCUGAUGCGUUGUUGGGUAGGGGAGCGUUCUGUAAGCCUGCGAAGGUGU
rnacentral:rRNA from 1 species